rnacentral:rRNA from 1 species
UACGGAGGGGGCGAGCGUUAUUCGGAAUUAUUGGGCGUAAAGGGCGCGUAGGCGGCUGUACAAGUCAAAGGUGAAAUCCCUCGGCUCAACUGAGGAACUGCCUUUGAAACUGUACGGCUUGAGGCCGGGAGGGGGUAGCGGAAUUCCCAGUGUAGCGGUGAAAUGCGUAGAUACUGGGAGGAACACCAGUGGCGAAGGCGGCUACCUGGACCGGUUCUGACGCUGAGGCGCGAAAGCGUGGGUAGCAACCAGG